CUACGGGUGGCAGCCGUGGGGAAUAUUGCACAAUGGGCGCAAGCCUGAUGCAGCCAUGCCGUGUGUGUGAAGAAGGCCUUCGGGUUGUAAAGCACUUUCAGCGGGGAGGAAGGCGGUGAGGUUAAUAACCUCAUCGAUUGACGUUACCCGCAGAAGAAGCACCGGCUAACUCCGUGCCAGCAGCCGCGGUAAUACGGAGGGUGCAAGCGUUAAUCGGAAUUACUGGGCGUAAAGCGCACGCAGGCGGUCUGUCAAGUCGGAUGUGAAAUCCCCGGGCUCAACCUGGGAACUGCAUUCGAAACUGGCAGGCUAGAGUCUUGUAGAGGGGGGUAGAAUUCCAGGUGUAGCGGUGAAAUGCGUAGAGAUCUGGAGGAAUACCGGUGGCGAAGGCGGCCCCCUGGACAAAGACUGACGCUCAGGUGCGAAAGCGUGGGGAGCAAACAGGAUUAGAUACCCGGGUAGUC
rnacentral:rRNA from 1 species